AAUAAUUUACAACUGCCAAAAACUAUUAAGUUCACACAUAAUAGUUUCGUAAAGGCAAGUCACAUAUAACAAUUUCACAAAAGGCAUCAAGUUCGCACAUGAAAGUCCCACAAAGACAUUAAAUUUUCACAUAGCAGAUUCACAAAGCCAUAAAGUUCGCACACAGUCAAGAAAAAUAUGGACUGCAACUAGAUAAAGCUUCAGACAACAACGUGCGUGGCAAAUCCUGAAACAAAAAGUAGUUGUGCAUCAAACUAAUUGUGCAAGUAAUAUGUGCAAAAUUGUGCAAGUAAUAUGUAAACUAUGCACUACUAGCAUCUUGAUGCAUCAACAGAUACGGACUACAUGUAAUGUGUGCAAAAAAAUAAGUUGAUGCCCAGAUGACGACCCAAUCUGCAAACUGUCCAUAGCCUAACCAGAAACACCCAAGCAUUGUGCAAAGAUGACUGCUCUUAUACUGAAGAAGUCUCAGCAUCAAUUCUUCUCUUGUGCUUUGUCUUAAGACAUCAACAAAAUCUUGACAUGAAUUCUAUGGUUUACCUGUCGGUGUUCGAGAUCUGAUCGCUCACUACGUGGAUACCCACGAGGUGCUUUUGGGUAGGACGACGUCGUUGAUCAUGACUCGAUGGUUCGUGUUGCAACACGACACAAAGGCACAAAGACUUAUACAGGUUCAGGCCACGUGGCGUAAUACCCUACUUCCUGUGGUGAUUCUAGUAUUGAAAAUGAGGUUUACAUGUUCAAAACUGUGAGUGUAGU
rnacentral:lncRNA from 1 species